rnacentral:lncRNA from 1 species
AUUAUCACUCACCAAAUUGAUGCAUUAUAAUAAAGUUGUAUUUUACGUCCUUGCCUCAAUAUACUAUAAGUACUUAUUUAUGUUGGGCGGGCGUGUAUCUAUAUUUAUGUGCAUAUGUAUUUCUAAAAUCUGUUUUAAACUCUCAAGUUUAUUUCCUAUGUUUUUUUUUCAAUCAAGGGCCUGCAUCCUUUGUCUCAUUGACUGAAUUUGAAUGCUAUCCUAUAAAUUGCACUCCAUAGUCAGAAGUCAAUCACACGCACUCAUGUUUUAUGUCUGGCGUGAACUCACAUGCACUUUGUUCUGUUUGUUUUUUUUGCGUGAAGAUGUUGGCCUUUUUGUAUCUUGUUUUCAGAAUGGAUUUAAAUUGUCAAUGGAGUCCAAGGAAUUUGUUAACCUUUCAUGCUUGUAUUUCCAUUUACAGUACCAUUACAUGCCGUUAGUUUCAAAUUAUGUUUUUUGAUAGUAAACUCCAUGUUAUGAUGUUCAAAGAAUACUAAAUAAUGAGAUCUAACUUAUAAACCCCCCCUCGUUUUAUUUGCAGAUGGGCAAGAAACAUCUGUUAGAAAACUUUCCGCUUCCCAAAGGUGACAACUGGUCUGUUCAUAAAUUUGGCGGUAACAUGUGUGGGAAGCUCCCCAAAGAAUUCAGAAUGUUGCACAGAUCAUUAUUAAAAUGAUGAUUCCUGAGAAAAGUUGGUUGUUUGUGUCUGCGAAUGUCAAAGGUGACAGAUAUGAUGUAUGACCUUAUCUAACACAGGCACGUCCCGAGAUGAUUCUUAUAUAGCUGCAUUGGAUGCUGUCUUAAAAGCACAAUUAACACACAUGAUCUACUAGAGGGGGAUGAAUCUUGCUACUUUCUUAUCAACGGUUGCAUGAUGACAAUUAAUACCUUAGCUAUGCUUUUCGUGGCACUAUAUAUAGGUAUUAGGAAAACAUUUUUCUUAUUGUCUUUUUCCUGAUGAAUAAUUAGAAACUUUUGUUCCCCGAGAGUAAUUAGAGUCUUGCUCUGAUACCCCACUUAUCAUCCCAAAGCUGGUUUUAAUUUCAUUGAAGUCACUGUUCAAUCAAACUCCUCUCAUCGGACCGUCAUGAAACCUCCCCAAUUAAAUACAUUUGUACAUGAUAUUAUACCUUAGUCUUGCAUAGUUACAUGCCCUGCCAAAUUCUAAUUCAACCAUUAUAUAAAAGCAAUUGGUAGGUUAAUUAUGGGUGUUUGCAUCCAACAGUUGAAAAACUAGUGUGCUACUCUUAUCUUGUCCAACACAAUAAGUGAAGCACAUUUGUUCGAGAGGUUUGCAACCUGACAUUCUUAAUAGCGUUUGAAGAUGGUGCUUAUGGUGAGAAUAAUGAUAGCAACAAUUAUUUUGACUUGCUAUCAAUAAGGAGUUGUUUGAUAACACAAUCAGUUCUUAGAAAAAGUAAAUUAAGUUGGUUUGAUAACCACAGUUUGCAUUACUUAAAAUUUUAAGUGUCUUAAAAUAUAGGCUACAAAUUUAAAGAAAAUUUUAAGCAACAAAGUAUGGGGGGGUUUACCAAAAUGGAAAAAAUAUGACUUUGUAACUGUCUGCUGUCAUGAGCAAUCGACGUGCACCUCUAUUGACCCUCCAAUCGCCUCCCCCUACUCCCCCCACCCCACUGUCGCCACUUACCCCACCUUCUUUUACCCCUCCACUAGUUACUGAAAAACCGACCGCAACCACCAUACUUAUUUCGCCUGAUGCCGUGUGCUGUCUUCCCCCUUCCCCCCACAUGUUAUCCACCCACCAUCACCCUCUACCUCCCACCACCACCAACUGCUACCACCACCUCUCAAAAUACAAAGUUUUCAUGAUUUCAGUUGCUUAAAUAAAUCAUGCAAAACGUUUGUUUCUAAUUUCAGCCGUAAAUUUUAUCAAUAGCUUUGCUGCUUUUUAAGAAAGUUCAGCAUUUUAGUCGUCAAUUACUUAUUUUCAGCUUGCAGUUUAUCAAAAGACUCGGAGGAUGUGCUUUCACUUGAUUCAUAAUUAAGCGUUUUAAGUUGUGAAUGUAAUCGGGCUUCACUUUUUAUUCAUAAUAUGAGCUGUUUUAAGAGUUGUAAAUUGACUCAAGUGUCAAUUUCUAUUAUCAUGAAUUCUUAAGAGUAACAGUGAUAUGUUGCGAACUAUUACAACGAUGGGGGAGAUUGUCUUUUUCCGAAUUUAUCUUCUUCUCCUUCAGUAAAUACGAAAUAAUGCAGUGUCAAUGCUAAGUGGCAGAAAACAUGCAAAGAACUUACAUACAUAGGAAUAUGGCAAUAAUGAUAUACAAACAAGAAAACAAGUAAAACACCCAACCCCAGCUGCUGAUCAGAUUACAUUACCAAUUGCCGAAGGAAUAUUUGAAUAAAUGUGACAGUUCCUAAUAUAUUUUGCAACACAAAGACCAUGUUCUAUGGUGUGACAACGCUUUUCUUUCCCUUCCCCCUUUCGGUAACAGCUCCCUUGACCACGUUAUUUCAAUAUUUUGUCUAGCAUGCUGCAGAAUGUUUUUUUUUUUCCUUUUUUGCAAUUCUCUUCCUGUCAUAUAGAUAAUUCCUUGUUAGCGUGUAUUUUUUUUUUCUAUUUAUCUAAUUUUAAUGUCACUUCCUGUUAAUAAACUUUUGGUUCUCUGUGCCAACAGAGAACUGUUGUUUUCCACUUAUGAUUUACUUGCUUGAUAUACCGCAGCUGGCCAUGCCAACAUAAUCUUUUAACAGAUUUUGUUGUUGGACAUGGGGAAUUAGGUCUGCUCAAAUGUUGGCGUCUCUGUCAAAAGGUGGUGCCUGCUCAGUUGUUUUUUCCCCCCCAAGACUAUCAAGAAAUCGUGAUUGGAAAGCUAGAUGUUUAGAAUUUUCUUCUUUUUAUUCUCUGCUACAGGCCAGGAUGAUUGUAACUGGAUGGUACAAGGGAUGUCAUUAAUUGUAAGCCUACUGGUUCGAAUCAAGUUGAUCCAGAUUACUUGAAUCUGAAAAAAGAUUGACCAGGUGGUUUUCUUUGCCGCAUCCCAUCUAAGCAAUCAAUUGCAACUGGUUUCAUAGCUAGCAACACCUCAAAUUUCCUACAACUUGGAAAAGAGAUGGAGUGACUUCUCUGCAGCUAUAAUGGGUUCUGUGUUAAGGCCCGUCAGGUGGGGGCGCUCGUUCUGGACGGAUGUUGAUGGUGUUUGUAGUGCCGAUCCCGAAAAGGUUGUACGGUUUUUUUUUGGUUUUGUGUUUCAACACAAAUCGCAUUCAAGUUUCUUUCUCAUGAACUAUUUAAGAACAAAUUUCUGGUUUCAAUUUUUAACAACAAUGCUUUGUAAUCUAAUGACAUUUCUUCUGGCAGUUAGUGAGGCUGUUGUACUGAAGACUUGUCUUAUCAGAGGCCGGGGGAACUGGUACCUUGAAUCUCUUUUUAUACAUGUCAAAGUGUUGAACUUUUCUAUGUUCACACACUCUUUCCGCAACAAAUUUUACUUUCUCUGCUCAUAUUUUGGGGCAAAUGUUUUUACCAAAAAACAAUCCUCGAACUAUCAUUCCAGUGAUGGCAAGUGGCAUUCCAAUUUAUAUAAGGAAAUAUCUUCAAUCUCUCACACCCGUACAGAUCAUCUGCCGACCUUCUAUUAUGAGUUCGACAAUAGACAUGGAUUGGAACCUUUUUGUCAAAGGGUUUCGCAACGUAGAUAAUUUUGGCCCUUGUAAUGUUGAGGGGUAGGCUGUAUUGGUCAAUAUAAUUCUGCUCAUUUCUUUUUUGCAGUUGUAUACUUUUCUUUUUAAUUUCCUUACAAUUAACCCCUGCGCGCCUUGUCCAUUCUUUUUGCAGACGGGAAUGCUGAUGUUCCUGGACGCUAGUGUCCUUUUUGGUGCUGUGAAAGAUUAGAAGCUAAUGUUAUCAUGAGAUCCCAGGUAUCUCGUCCUCUGGUAUCGAUUCCUCAGAUUGUAAAACUCAUGGGUUAUUGCCGGUUUCUAAUUCCGCUAAGCAGUGAGCAUUCUGUGUGCUUUGCCGCCUGAGAAGAAUGAAGUAAGAAGCUGUUUCUAAGGCUUUAAGUCUAGAUUUUCGUGAAGCUCUAGCCGCUGACGUCUUUGCCCGGUUUUGUACAUUGAUUGAACCUAACUAAAGGAGCUAAUGUUCCGUUUGUAUAUAGGAAUAAAAUGUUUAAAUAAUUACUUGGGAUCACGAUUAUUAGCACUUAGCGAGUGUUUUUUUGGUUCGGCUUUUCUAUAGGAAGUGCUCACACCCUAUGAGCUUUCCUUUGCCGCACUUGUUUUGGUGACUUAAAAAGGAAACUUUUUUUGCCUAUGAUGGUCCUACUCUUCCCCCGUCUGUCCCUUGAAAAGAAGAAGAAAUAGGGUUGGGGUGACGAGUACAAACAUGAAGCCUUUCUGAUUUAGUAGAGCAUUUGACUGUAGAAAAUAUUCACAGCCCAACUUGAAUUAACAUGUUAUGAAUCUGCAAAGGACAAUUGCAGGUAAUCAUUUAAUGCAAGUGUUAUGAUGAAGUGAAUGUUUAUUGCAAGCUUAAGAGCUGGCUAUUGCAUUCCACAACGUUAAUUGGCUAUCCAAAAAUCCUCAAAGUUCUUUCGUAUAUUCUAGCUUUAAACAGUUUGGAUUGUAUAUGAACUAACGUUUCCCUUAGAAGUAAUACUAUCAAAUACCUUACAAAUAGAAUAGACGAAUGAUCUCGUAUCAAAAAGUUACGUGAUACAAUCAUUUUAUAGUCGAUAGAGAGAGAUAUACAUUGGAAUAAUGGAUAUCACUCAAUUAAUGAAAUCGCUAGAGAUAGAUAAUGUUUAAAUUUAAACAUUUAUCUACAAGAUUCUCUCUAAUGCUCCCUCCAGUACUUCCCCUCAAAAGCAAUGGAUCAUAGAGAAUGCUCAUCUGGUUAAAUUUUUUAAAUUUCUCUCUCAUCCUCUUUCUUUUUCUUCUUUUUUUUGACACAGGAAUAAAGCAUAGAAACACGCCACGAAGUAUGUAGGAUUUAAGUGGGAGCUACUGAUUGAAAGACAGUAAACCCCUGGUGAGUGAUC